AACACAGGUGCAUGCGAAGGCGCAAGCCGCUGUAUAUGCACUGACGCCUGCCCGGUGCCGGAAGGUUAAGAGGAUCCGUCAGCCUUCGGGUGAAGCGGUGAAUUCAAGCCCCGGUAAACGGCGGUGGUAACUAUAACCAUCCUAAGGUAGCGAAAUUCCUUGUCGGGUAAGUUCCGACCUGCACGAAUGGCGUAACGACUUCCCCACUGUCUCGACCAGGAGCUCGGCGAAAUUGCAGUACGAGUAAAGAUGCUCGUUAAGCGCAGAAGGACGAAAAGACCCCGGGACCUUUACUAUACCUUGGUAUUGGCAUUCGGUGUGGAUUGUGUAGCAUAGGCGGGAGGCCGAGAGGCAUGGUCGCCAGAUCGUGCGGAGCCGCAAGGUGAAAUACCGCUCUGUUCGCAUUGGAUGUCUAACCUCGAACAGUGAUCCUGUUCAGGGACAGUGCCUGGCGGGUAGUUUAACUGGGGCGGUUGCCUCCCAAAGAGUAACGGAGGCGCCCAAAGGUCCGCUCAGCCCGGUUGGCAAUCGGGUGGCGAGUGCAAGUGCACAAGCGGGCUUGACUGCGAGGACGACGGUCCGAGCAGGGACGAAAGUCGGGACUAGUGAUCCGGUGCCGGUGUACGGACGCGGCAUCGCUCAACGGAUAAAAGGUACCCCGGGGAUAACAGGCUGAUCAUUCCCAAGAGUCCAUAUCGACGGGAUGGUUUGGCACCUCGAUGUCGGCUCGUCGCAUCCUGGGGCUGGAGCAGGUCCCAAGGGUUCGGCUGUUCGCCGAUUAAAGCGGCACGCGAGCUGGGUUCAGAACGUCGUGAGACAGUUUGGUCUCUAUCCUCUGCGCUCGUUGGAAUGUUGAGGAGGCCUGCCCAUAGUACGAGAGGACCUGGGUGGACGAACCUCUGGUAUGCCGGUUGUCACGCCAGUGGCACGGCCGGUUGGCUACGUUCGGAAGGGAUAACCGCUGAAAGCAUCUAAGCGGGAAGCCUGCUCCAAGAUAAGCAUUCCGUGCAGCCUCGGGCUGCUGUAGUCCCCAUGCAGAACACGUGGUCGAUAGGCCGGACGUGGAAGCCCCGCGAGGGGUGGAGCCGACCGGUACUAACGGACGAAAGGCAACACUAU
rnacentral:rRNA from 1 species